CUCUGGACUGGGGCCCUGUAUUAACAGCAGAGACAUUAGCAAAAUACUGACCGCAGUUUUUUAUUUUCCUUUCCGUGGAAUGUGGCUUAGUCCUCAGGACUGACAGUGAUGAGGGGCAGUUGCAAGUCUUAAAAGCGGAAGAGACGUGAUCAGGUCAGCCUUUGAGAUGAUCAUUGUGGUGGUCCCUCUGGAGAAGGGACCGAAGACAGCAGAGACGGUUAGGAGGCCACUCAACAGACUAGCCAAGUACUGACCACCAGGACCAAGCCAGUGGGCGCCUGGAACACAACUGAUGUACUUCAAACAAUGUUCUGCUGUAAGUCUGUCCUAAUAUUCUCAAGUGCCUAGACAGUGCCUGGCACCUACCAAGGGCUUAGAAACAUCUGGUUCAAUGAAUACAUGGAAAUGUAAAAGGAAGAUUGUUAAUGCUGAAUGUUCAGCUCGUGAGGCAAUGCAGACUGCAGUAACACAGCAUGACCACAAGAUGGCAAUAUAAAUAGAAAAGCUCUGCAUUUCAGGAAUAUUCUGGAUGAUCUGCCCCUUCCCUCUCCUGGGACUCCAGGGAAAAGACACGGUUGCAGUACUGUGAAGGCAGAAAGCAAACUGCCAGGAAUUUGCCCACCUACCUCCUAUUUCGCUGUGUGGAUCAAUGCCUUGAAAACGCAGCUCCUGACCGACAGAAGGAAAUAUUUCUGCUGAGCUGGGAGACCUCCAUAAAGGCCCAUGACACCUCACCUGGGGACAGUUUUAUUUGUGUGGCCCUUUUCCCUGUCCCUGCCUUAAAUCUGCAUCUCUGGGCCUGGGUGGAGAGGAAACGUGAUACGGAGGAAAGUGCAGAGUUGAAGGCUGACCCCAGUGCCGACCAUUGUACGUCUGCACAAGUUUCUCAACCUUUCUGAACUCCAUCGUGUCGUGUGAAAAAAAAAAAAAAAGGAAAACAAAUACAGAGCGAUUACAGAUGAACUGUUGCAACCACAGAGGUUUAAGCAGAAUAGCAUUCUCUACAGACCAGUUCCCAGAGGAUCCUGGAAUCAAAACGAAGAAUCUUCUUUGCAGUUCUGGAAGGACUUGGGCACUGAGCCCACAGCUACUUGGCCCAGAGCAUUCUAUCCCUAACAGAUCAACAAAUUCUCUGAAUAAGGUUUACUUGGACGUGGCCCUCAGCAGUAACUUUCCCUUUUCAAAAAACACACUCUGUUGAGGACAAAAAAAAAAAAAAAA